CUGAAUCGAGGACUGACAUCCAGUAAUCUCAAUUAUCCUCUUCCAUUCUAUAGCUGAUGUUGGGGAAAAAAUAGAAAAUUCUCCCAUGGUCUUUUUUAAACACUAUUUUUUAACAACCAGCUUAAGAAAAAAUAAAUAUAAACCUGUCUUUUUUCUGUCUCUUCUCAAGUUCGGCUUCCAGUGCCCUGUUCUUCGCUGUCAGACUGUUCUUCUCUAACUGCAGGCUCUUUCUCUGCAUUUGCAGGACUGCCAACUUUUCCAUCAGCUCUUCCAUCUCAGCACGUUCUUUCUCUUCUUCCUUCUGCAAACGACUGACAGACAAACCCAGCACAGGCUUGGAUCAGGACAAUGAGGCAGGGCCAGGUAGUGACAACAGCCCAGCCCUCAGCACCUGGGUGGGUCAUCUGAGAGGCCUGUGCCUCCCCAGUCCCUGGAGGAUGUGGGCUGGACUCCUGGAGGAAGGACAGACAGCAGACAUGGCCUGGCUGGGUACACGCUGCUUCGAAGUGUCUAUUUCCUGAAAACAAAAACAUUCAUUUACUCUACCACAGAACCAUCAUGAAAAUCAGGAUAGCAACAAAGGCUCACGGGGGCAGUGAAUGACAGAUAUACGGGUAUAAAUGAAUAAAAGUUACUAAGUUUUUAAACACUGAAGAGUC